AGUGAACGCUGGCGGUAGGCCUAACACAUGCAAGUCGAACGGCAGCACAGUAAGAGCUUGCUCUUACGGGUGGCGAGUGGCGGACGGGUGAGGAAUACAUCGCAAUCUACUUUUUCGUGGGUGAUAACGUAGGGACACUUACGCUACUACCGCAUACUUCCUACGGGUGAAAGCAGAAGUUCUUCAGACCUUGCGCGUUUGUUUGAGCCGAUGUCGGAUUAGCUAGUUGGCAGGGUAAAGGCACACCAAGCCAACGAUCCGUAGCUGGUCUGACAGGAUGAUCAGCCACACUGGAACUGAGACACGGUCCAGACUCCUACGGGAGGCAGCAGUGGGGAAUAUUCGACAAUGGGCGAAAGCCUGAUCGAGCCAUACCGCGUGAGUGAAGAAGGUCUUCGGGUCGUAAAGCUCUUUUGUUAGGAAAGAAAAUAAGCAGAAGAAAACCCCGAUAUUCUGACGGUACCCAAAGAAUAAGCACCGGCUAACUUCGUG
rnacentral:rRNA from 1 species